rnacentral:rRNA from 1 species
GAGGUCGGGAGAGGGAUGCGGAAUUCCAGGUGUAGCGGUGAAAUGCGUAGAUAUCUGGAGGAACACCGGUGGCGAAGGCGGCAUCCUGGACCAUUACUGACGCUGAGGAGCGAAAGCCAGGGGAGCAAACGGGAUUAGAUACCCCGGUAGUCCUGGCCCUAAACGAUGAAUGCUUGGUGUGGCGGGUAUCGAUCCCUGCCGUGCCGAAGCUAACGCAUUAAGCAUUCCGCCUGGGGAGUACGGUCGCAAGGCUGAAACUCAAAUGAAUUGACGG